rnacentral:sRNA from 1 species
ACCGGACGUCCGGCAUGUAUUUCAUCUGCCGCAAUUGCGGGCCGAGCCGUCCGCGGAUGAAUUUCGCA